rnacentral:lncRNA from 12 species
GGGGGGGGGGGGGGGGGGGGGGGGGGGGGGGGGGGGGGGGGGGGGGGGGGGGGGGGGGGGGGGGGGGGGGGGAAUGACGUUAUGGCCUGGUCCUCGGCGAGCAGGAGUGGUGGAUGCCCGGCAGUGGGUGCAGAGGGCAGGAAGGAGCUGCGUGUGCCCUGCCCGGGGAGUGUCUGGUGCGACACUGCCAGGAACUCACAGGUGGAAAGAGUAAAGUGAUCUGCUGGAUUUACAUUGAGAACGAGAGAUGGGUGGAUCCUAUACUUAGAAGGGCAAAGGAACUUCACAUGGCAAAAGCUCCAAUCCUAGUCCUGCUUUACUCCAGCACUACAACUCUUCUGCAGCUCCUGCAUUGUUUCAUUACCCCAGAAGUUCAAGCACCUGUGUAGUACCUGUAAGUCCUGCUCCUCAAGCAUGCUAAGAUCAAGCAAAAAGAAUUGAUUCUAAUGGUCUGAAAAGCCACAUAAUGUUAUGGGAGGACUGCACUGUGUAAUCAUUCAAUCAGUGUGUUGUCUUCACACAGAGUGAAGAAAGGAUGCCAGUUCUUUGGAGUGGAGGUCAAUAGCGAUUUAAUCACAAGGAAAAAAAGAGAAAAGCUAGUUUUCUUAGAAGUAGAAGAAACCGUAUGUCUCUGGCAUAUCUGGCAGCAAAACACUAGCAGAAUGUUCUGGAUUAAGAGGUAUUGAGAAUCUUCAGUGUUUUAUUGACAGUAGAAGCUUAGUUGAAAGGCAACAUAAUAUCCACUGCCCAGUCCUACAGGUUGUAUGUAAAGAAAGAGGGAAUCUGGACAGUGUGGCCAAAGUGAUAAAUCUGGAAUAGGAUGAUCAAAAUAUUCAAGGUUUGAUGCCAACUUGAGCAUGUCCAGAAAUGUAGGGCUAGUAGUGCCCUAUGAAGUUAGCUUGUAAGUUUUUAUAAAAUGUAAAUUCAAGUGCUGCAGUGGUAGUAAGUUCAUUAUCUCCGCUUCCUUUAUUGAAUCACUUUUCUUUUUUCACCUUGUUACGUUAUUCAGUAUUUUGCUAAAGUUCAGGUUUCUUGUGAAUCUGAGGGGUUUUUUAAACCUAACUUUCUUAGGUUUGAUAUUUUGUAGGACUAAGUUCAUAUUUAUACUCUAAUUUGAACUGUGAUUAAUCUGUGCAUGGUCUCUUUUCAAUUCUGUGUGAAUUGUAUUCUUUGUUAUCAUUGUGAGGGUGACUGAGCACUGGAACAGACUGCCCAGAGAGGUUGUGGAGUCUCUUCUCUGGAGAUAUUCAAAAUCUGUCUAUAUAUGACCCUGUACGACCUGCUCUGGGUGACCUUGCUUUAGCAGGGGGGGUUGGGCCACCUUCCAACUCCAGUCUCUCUGUGACUGUGAUUAUUUUGUUUGUUUUAUCAUUUUGGGGGGUUUUGAUAACAGUUCUAUAUUUUUGCCUCUAUAUUAAACAACAAACAAUUUUUAGUAUAGUGUUAUAAAGUAUUCUGACUUGUGAACAUUCAAAGAAAAGCUGACAUUUUAAAACAUGAUUACAUAAGUUUAGC